UGGGGAAUAUUGGACAAUGGGGGGAACUCUGAUCCAGCCAUGCCGCGUGUGUGAAGAAGGCCUUAUGGUUGUAAAGCACUUUAAGCGAGGAGGAGGGUACUGGUAUUAAUACUACCAGGUACUGGACGUUACUCGCAGAAUAAGCACCGGCUAACUCUGUGCCAGCAGCCGCGGUAAUACAGAGGGUGCGAGCGUUAAUCGGAUUUACUGGGCGUAAAGCGUGCGUAGGCGGCUAAUUGAGUCGGAUGUGAAAUCCCCGAGCUUAACUUGGGAAUUGCAUUCGAUACUGGUUAGCUAGAGUGUGGGAGAGGAUGGUAGAAUUCCAGGUGUAGCGGUGAAAUGCGUAGAGAUCUGGAGGAAUACCGAUGGCGAAGGCAGCCAUCUGGCCUAACACUGACGCUGAGGUACGAAGGCAUGGGGAGCAAACAGG
rnacentral:rRNA from 1 species